rnacentral:rRNA from 1 species
AUGAAGGAAGUGGAUGAAGGAAAAUCCAAGUUUUUGGACUACCACUUUGAAUUUGCUUAUGGUGAUACCUUGGAUAGGCUAUCACUACGCCCGACAAAUGCAUCUAAAGUCUUCCUGGACCCUGAAAUUCUAGAGACAGACCAAAUUAUUGAGAGGCAUUGUGAAAGCGAUGUUAUUCCAACAAUGGUUGGAAUUGACGAAAGCACCCAAGGAAUGAUUGAAGAGCAAAUACUUGAGAUGGAAUAUUCAAAUGAAAUAGUUGAAGAGCGUAUACUGGAAAGGCAAGACACACAAGGUUCUUCAAAUUUUGCUAUGCAGAAGUCCGAUAACAAGGUCAACCACUCCUCCAAGAAUGCAAGAAAUGAUGAGAAGGAGGAUAUAAAUAGCAGAAAACCAAUUGUUAAAAUCGAUGCUCCUGAUGACGAGCGAGACAACAAUAGUCACGCCGACAACAACUGUACCAGCACAGAUGACCGUAAUGAAGAAUGGAACGCCAAAACUAGAAGCAGAACAAAGAAGGAAAGGACCGAUUGCAUAAAGAGGAGGAAAAUAUCAUCUAAAGACAUGCAGCCAACCUUGUAUGAUAGACCUAAGAGGAUUAGGAGAGAACCAGCGAGAUACAUGGGCUAG